rnacentral:rRNA from 1 species
GAUGAACGCUAGCGGCAGGCCUAACACAUGCAAGUCGAGGGGUAACAGAAGAAGCUUGCUUCUUGCUGACGACCGGCGCACGGGUGCGUAACGCGUAUGCAAUCUACCUCUAACUGGAAGAUAGCCCCGAGAAAUCGGGAUUAAUACUCCAUAAUAUGAGUCUUUCGCAUGUUAGAAUCAUUAAAGCUCAGGCGGUUAGAGAUGAGCAUGCGUCCCAUUAGUUUGUUGGUGAGGUAACGGCUCACCAAGACUACGAUGGGUAGGGGGCCUGAGAGGGUGAUCCCCCACACUGGUACUGAGACACGGACCAGACUCCUACGGGAGGCAGCAGUGAGGAAUAUUGGUCAAUGGACGCAAGUCUGAACCAGCCAUGCCGCGUGAAGGAUGAAGGCGCUACGCGUCGUAAACUUCUUUUAUUUGGGAAGAAACCCCCUUACGUGUAAGGGGCUGACGGUACCAAACGAAUAAGGACCGGCUAACUCCGUGCCAGCAGCCGCGGUAAUACGGAGGGUCCAAGCGUUAUCCGGAAUCAUUGGGUUUAAAGGGUGCGUAGGCGGGAAAUUAAGUCAGUGGUGAAAGCCCACAGCUCAACUGUGGAACUGCCAUUGAUACUGAUUUUCUUGAAUUUAGUCGAAGUGGGCGGAAUGUGUCAUGUAGCGGUGAAAUGCAUAGAUAUGACACAGAACACCGAUUGCGAAGGCAGCUCACUAGCCUAAUAUUGACGCUGAGGCACGAAAGCGUGGGUAGCGAACAGGAUUAGAUACCCUGGUAGUCCACGCCGUAAACGAUGAUCACUCGACAUUGGCGAUAAACUGUCAGUGUCCAAGCGAAAGUAUUAAGUGAUCCACCUGGGGAGUACGAUCGCA